UUCUCUAGCCAUUUGCUUUUAAAAAUCACAAUCACAUUUUUGCAAUGCGUUCCUGAAAAAUAAUUUUCCAUCAAUGCUGUUUGUCUGUUUUAUGUUCUUGCACCUUUCAGCUGUUAAUGGUAUAAAUCCUGGCAUUUUGCCAUUUUUGGAGCUUGUAAUUUAACACAUGUCAAAGCCCCUUAGAAACCUAACGUUAGCAACACAUAUCUUAAAUUACAACUGCACCUUGGUUUUCUUUCUUUUAUCUUCCUACGUUGUCUUACAGAGACCUUCUCUGUCUGUUAAUCCUCAGCAUGCUUGGAACAUGAGUUUUUUAUUAACUUUCGGAAAAUUAGGGGCUCUACAGAAAUAUUGUAAGACAAGAUAUCCUCAGCCAGGGUGUACAUUUAAAUGGCCAUUGUUUUAAGGCACAUACCAGAAGGUGAAGGGGUAGAAUUCCCAGUUUCAGUGCAGAACAAAGUUGUCACUCUACAUCCACAAUGUGAUAUGCUGACAAUCAAUCACACCCGACACCAAGGACAAAACCUACAAUUCUUGAGAAGUUCCUCCUACAGCUCGGAGCUCGGAGCGGCAGCGGCAGCUUUGACAGCGGCAGUGGCGGCCUGGCCUCGGAGCUGGGACAGCGGCGACCAGAACUCGGAGCUGGGGCACGUUCCGGCGGCAGCGGCCACUCGACCCGACCGCGGGCCCAGGGGACGACAGCGGCGGCUGGGACAGCAGCAGUGGCCUCGGCACAGAGGGAGAAUAAGAAGGGAUGAGACAAAGACUGAAGACUUUUGCCUUCCACCACAGUGAGGAGGUGUCUGUUGAACUCACUGUGGUGGAUGUUAAUUUGUGUUUAUUGUGUGUUUUGUAAUUUUUACUAUAUGUUGGACUGCAAGGCAACAACAUUUUGUUCAGACCGCAAGGUCUGAAUGACAAUAAAGGCUACUUGUGUUACUUGUGUAUGAGUGUCUCCAGCGAGGUAGAUAGUAGCUCAGAACCGCUCUCUGGUUUGAUAGGACUGUUCAGUUGCCUGAUUACAGCUGGGGAGAAAUAAUCCCUGAAUCUGGAGGUGUGAGUGUACCUCUUCUGUACCUCUUGCCUGAUGGGAGAGGGGAGAAGAGGUUGUGACCAGGGUGAAACUUGUCCUUGAUCAGGCUGCUGGCCUUGCCGAGGCAGCGUGAUGUGUAAAUGGGGUCAAUGGAAGGGAGGUAGGUUUAUGUGAUGGUCUGGGCUUAGUCCACAAUUCUUUGCAAUUUCUUUGAUGAAGGAAUUAGAUGAUGUCAGAUUUGCAGGUUUCUCUGAUUGUAAAACGGAAUAAAUACGUCUCUGGGAAUAAAAAGGCCAACGGUAUUUGUAGACAUAUGCCCAGGUAAUCUCAGACACAGAUGGGAUCAUAAAUAGUUACAUAUAUAUAGGAUGUGGGUUGAAUGGCCAAAAAAUCAACCGGUUCUCAACUGUCAGUGCUGUGUAAGGGGGGCAUCCACUAACUAAAGUGUUUAAGCAUGCAGUCCUCUGACAGAUUUCAGGAUUGAUUGAACACCAGACCUAAAUUUACGAGGAGGGCAGUGGUCAAGCAGGUGGCAUGAAAUCCAUUUGAAGUUGUAAUUUACAGGAACAGGUGACGCAACUUGCCGCAAUAAAUAAUAAAUAAUUUGAUCAGUGCAUGUGCUAAGUUUGCAGGACAGCAGCGAGGACUGAGUGUCUUCUGCUUGUAACAUGUCUCAUAACCUGCAGAGUGUGGCUGGGAUCAAUUACAUUGCCCUAUAAUCUGUCAUUUUAAGUUUCCUACAUUACAUCAGGCAGCACACUUCCAAAGUAUUUCAUUGGCUGUGAUUCCCUGUGCGACACCUUAAGCAUGUGAAUGGUGCCAUAUAAAUAUAUAUAUAUAUAUAUAUAUAUAUAAAAUCCUUUCUAUAUUUAUAAAACCAGGAUUGGAGCUAAAAAGGAAGACAUAAAUAUUGGAAAUCUGUAACAGAUAAUUCUCUUUAAAGAAGUUUAUGUAAUUUCCUGCAUUGAUGAUCUACUGUGUCGUUCUCGUAGAAACAAGGAACUGCAGAUGCAGGUUUACGAAAAAAAAGACACAGGCUGCUGGAGUAACUCAGGCAGCAUGCCUGGAGAACAAGGAUAGGUGACGUUUUAGAAACAUAGAAACAUAGGUGCAGGAAUAGGUGCUUUGAGCCAGCACCGCCAUUUAAUAUGAUCAUGUCGGAUCAUCUACGUCACCUGGCGACAACCUGCGUUAACCUGGCGACAAUCUACAUUAACCUGGUUACGCUCAUUGGCGUCAAACCCACUGUCGCCGACUGUCUCCGAAUUUUUUUUUGACAUGUUGAAAAUCCAGCGGCGACCAGAAAGACGCUACAACUCUUUGGGCGACUGAGGAGACGACUCACAACCAUACAGGCGACACCCCAGCGACCAUGUGGUGACCGCCUAGUCGCCUGUAGUCGUCUAAAUAAUCGCCAGUGGGACAGGCCCUUAACUCUCUCUUGAAAACUGAAUUCUGAAGAAGGGUUCCGACCCGAAAUGUUACCUAUCCACGUUCUCCAGGAAUGCUGUUGACCUGUUGAGUUACUCCAGCACUUUGUAUAAUUCCAGUAAUGUGUGAUUUAUAACUUUUCAAGCUUUGUGACAUAAUUUACUAAUUUGGAUGUGA